UUUUAAAGCUGGCCCAAGAGCGCACUGGACUGUAAAUUUUGAUUUCCAUAAGUUUUGGAACAAAGAUAACAGAUAAAUGACGUGCCAAUAUUUUUAAAAAGUGAAGAGGAGGACCCAGGUAAUUGCAGGCCCUUCAUCCUGAUGUUGAUCCUCAGCAAGAUGAUGGAACAGCUGAUAUGGGACUUGAUUAAUAAAGAAAUAAAAGGAGGAUUGUGAAACUAACACCAACCAAAGUUCAAAGAAAGGCACCUGAAGAUGGCAAUUGAAAAGACCUCCCCAGGAGUUAAAAUAAACAGCACAACUAUUGUACUGAGGCAGAUUAUAUACUUGAACUGCUUAUGACUUUUUUCAAAAGUCAGCUCCAUUGUAUGUUGUUGUGGAAACUGUUCAGCUUCCGAUGGGGCAGAGUGGUAAGGUGAGGAGGAAAACAAAUACGCCAUCCUCAUGUAAAGAAAAUGGACUGCACUGAAUACUUUGAAACCUGAAGAAUGGUCUCGUUCUCUCAACCUGUUGGCUUCCCAAUGGUUUCCAGAAACUUUUACAAAAAUAAAUAGCUCAGGUGCAAAUAUAUUCACAUGCUGUCAGGCAUCUUUUAUCAAUCCGGUUUCCUUCUGACAUUAUCAAUGAUGUAUAACCAGCUCUGCUGAUAAGGUGGUAAGCAUACAUCAAGGUGAAGACCUAACCGUAUUGAAGUCCAUGGCAAACUCUCACUGAGUUCAAGAGGGCCAGGAUUCUAUCCCAGUAUGCAUUAUAACACUACAACUGCAAAAUAAAGCUCUUGUGAUUGAAAUGUAUAAGAAAUAGAAAUUUGAGGAUGUAUGUGAAGGAACGCUAUACUUACCAACCUUAUUACUGAAUUAUGAUCUCAAUUUCAGGCUUCUUAAACACUAAUCAUUCUCCUCCCACCAAAAUAAUGGUCACAAAAAUGCAAUGUAGAAUUAUUGUAUGAAAAUUGCCUUCUGAAUGUACAUAAGCAUGUCAUAAUUCAUAACUGUCAUCUACUCUGCAGCUGGUCAAAACGUACUUUUUUCAGUUACAAAAUUAACGUGCCCGCAGUUAGUAAGGCAAAACAAGAAAAUGUCCUCCAGACAAAGAUUUCUUUUAGAUCACAGGGUCCUGAUUCAAAGCCCAGUGAAGCCAGUGGAAAGAUUUCCAUUUGACUCCAGUAGGCUUUGGAUCAGGCCCCAAAUGCAAAGACUCGCUCAAAUUAAAGUUUAAAAUUAUAGAUAUGAGCAAUAAAAAAAAAGUCCAAUAAAAAUGUCUGUUACACGAUCCCGUCUGUCAGAAGGCUCCUACCCAGUUUAGAAGUGGCAUUUCUGAUUCAUCUCUGGAUCUUGGAUCAUCUGACAACUGAAAAACAAGAAAAGUUUAAAGUGAGUUCUUCUGAUUCCCCUUCGGGCUUUUCUGUUACUGGCUGCAGUAGGGCUGAUGUGAGCUGGAAUUGUGACAUGCCCUUUGUAGUUGGAGUGACCUCUGGGCUAUGGCAUGGAGGUCUAGAUCACCUUUUCUUUGGCAGUGCAAUCUCGCAAUGUCCCUUAUUGCAUUUCCUUUUUUUUCUUCACCUAUAUCUAAGGAUGUGAUUUGGUCACAGAGGUCAUGGAUUCCAUGACUUCAACAGGUGGGCGACUUCUUCAGCUUCAACUUCAGCACCACCCAGGCUUCGGCUUCAGCUCCAGGUGAUGGGGCAGAAGCCAAAGCCUGAGCUCUGCUGCCCAUGGCUGACACCUGAGCCCCGUGCCUGUAACUUUGCUUCAUGGGGCCAUCUGUGGCAUGGGACCCUGGACAAUUGCCCUGCUUACUACCUCCUAACUCUGGCCCCAUGUACAUUUCCGUGAUUUAGCAACUUAUUGUCCUCGUGCCAAAAUUUCAUUCUUCCAUAUAUCCAAUCUCUCUUGCUUUUCACCUGCUCUGUACUGAUUGAAUGACUUCUCAGAAUGUGUGUGAUCUUUACUUAAGUCAGUAGUGCCACUGGGCAACAUUCUGUCCUGAAUGCCGAGGGUGCACUACAGCAAGGUGUAGAGGGGCCACAUUGCGAGGAAGAUCUGGUUGACUCAAUCAAAAUGCCUCAAAUUUCUAUUAGAACAGUAGCUCUCUGUCACCCUGAGAGAUGGUCCAUUAUGUUUCCUGCUCAGUGCCGAGACAUCUUUGCUGGCUAGCAAAGGAUUAGGUCAGGACCCCUAGUGUAUAUAUAUAUAUGCCCAGAGAGCUAGUGUCUGAUUUUCAAUGGUACUGACCACCUGAAUUGUCAAUUGAAGUCAAUGGGAAGAGUAAAUCCUCAGUAAUUCUGAAAAUCAAGGCUUCAGUGCUGCAGAUAGAAUCAUAACAGGAUUCUAACCAUCACAUGUGGAGAGGGACUAAAGGUAGGAGCCAGGCGAGGUGGGAAGCUUCUUGUGCCUUGGCCCUACUUGAACAUGCAUGCAGAUGCUGGCCAGAAUCUAGCCCAUUGACUUCAAUGAGACUAUUCACCCAAGUGAGGACUACUUGUAUGAGUCAGAGUUUGUGGGGUUGGCGCAUUCAGUUUCUUGUUUUCUUUAUUCAUAGCUUUACAUUGUUUUUUUCCCCUAAUAGAAGUGGAUUUCUUAGUGGAUGUUACUGGAUCUCAAGAGCAAU